rnacentral:sRNA from 1 species
AGGUAUUAACCCGAAGACAGCAGGUGCCGUUAGGCAUAAGGUUAAAACGCCUGCCGAGGAAACGAUACAGACAGUCUUUUUGAUAUGUUUGUUUGAUCACCCCUGAGUCUUUGGACCCGGGGGUUUUCCUUUUGUU